rnacentral:rRNA from 1 species
ACAUCAAAUCGUACCCCAAACCGACACAGGUGGUCAGGUAGAGAAUACCAAGGCGCUUGAGAGAACUCGGGUGAAGGAACUAGGCAAAAUGGUGCCGUAACUUCGGGAGAAGGCACGCUGACACGUAGGUGAAGUGAUUUACUCAUGGAGCUGAAGUCAGUCGAAGAUACCAGCUGGCUGCAACUGUUUAUUAAAAACACAGCACUGUGCAAACACGAAAGUGGACGUAUACGGUGUGACGCCUGCCCGGUGCCGGAAGGUUAAUUGAUGGGGUCAGCGCAAGCGAAGCUCCUGAUCGAAGCCCCGGUAAACGGCGGCCGUAACUAUAACGGUCCUAAGGUAGCGAAAUUCCUUGUCGGGUAAGUUCCGACCUGCACGAAUGGCGUAAUGAUGGCCAGGCUGUCUCCACCCGAGACUCAGUGAAAUUGAACUCGCUGUGAAGAUGCAGUGUACCCGCGGCAAGACGGAAAGACCCCGUGAACCUUUACUAUAGCUUGACACUGAACAUUGAGCCUUGAUGUGUAGGAUAGGUGGGAGGCUUUGAAGUGUGGACGCCAGUCUGCAUGGAGCCGACCUUGAAAUACCACCCUUUAAUGUUUGAUGUUCUAACGUGGACCCGUGAUCCGGGUUGCGGACAGUGUCUGGUGGGUAGUUUGACUGGGGCGGUCUCCUCCUAAAGAGUAACGGAGGAGCACGAAGGUUGGCUAAUCCUGGUCGGACAUCAGGAGGUUAGUGCAAUGGCAUAAGCCAGCUUGACUGCGAGCGUGACGGCGCGAGCAGGUGCGAAAGCAGGUCAUAGUGAUCCGGUGGUUCUGAAUGGAAGGGCCAUCGCUCAACGGAUAAAAGGUACUCCGGGGAUAACAGGCUGAUACCGCCCAAGAGUUCAUAUCGACGGCGGUGUUUGGCACCUCGAUGUCGGCUCAUCACAUCCUGGGGCUGAAGUAGGUCCCAAGGGUAUGGCUGUUCGCCAUUUAAAGUGGUACGCGAGCUGGGUUUAGAACGUCGUGAGACAGUUCGGUCCCUAUCUGCCGUGGGCGCUGGAGAACUGAGGGGGGCUGCUCCUAGUACGAGAGGACCGGAGUGGACGCAUCACUGGUGUUCGGGUUGUCAUGCCAAUGGCACUGCCCGGUAGCUAAAUGCGGAAGAGAUAAGUGCUGAAAGCAUCUAAGCACGAAACUUGCCCCGAGAUGAGUUCUCCCUGAGACUUUAGGUCUCCUGAAGGAACGUUGAAGACGACGACGUUGAUAGGCCGGGUGUGUAAGCGCAGCGAUGCGUUGAGCUAACCGGUACUAAUGAACCGUGAGGCUUAACCUUACA